rnacentral:lncRNA from 10 species
AUUAACAGAGGUGUCAAAGUCACAGGAACAAGGAUGUGCACCUCAGAAACACAGAGGCUAGCCUGGCUGAAGCUCAGCUGCACAGAGUCUGUCCUGAGAAGCAGAAUGCCACUGUCCCCUGGGCCCUCCAGACUGCCAAGGCUGCUCAGUUUCAGAGAGCAGGCUCCCUGUGGCCUCACACGCCGGCUGCCAGCUGGGCCAGGUAACUCUGGCCAGGCUGCACUGUGAAGAACACGAGAGUCGGCGGAGACCUGUGCCUGCUCUUCUCAGCCUCAAUGUCUGGAAGACAAAAAAAGGCAUCCUGCUCCCAAGAUUGUGGUGGAGGCCAGCAGGGUGACGCACAUGAAAGCCACUGGAGAUAGAUGGCACUUGUUCCCACCCACUGCCCACAACAGGCCCAGGACUGCCUCAGCCCCGGUGGACCCCAGAGCCAGCAGGCCCUUCAGAAUGGAAGGUGCCAAACACCAUCGGAAGGCGUGGUUCUUUUCAGAGAACCAGACUCUGAGACUGUGGCCUCCCACUAUGAGUCACCACCUCUGAUUCCUGAGGUCCCCUCCAGUCAUUGGCUCUCUCCCAAGCCAGCCAGCUGAUCAGCCUUGAGGACAGCAGAGUGUCUGCCAAGAGAGAUCUGUGAAGUUUCCCAUCACCGUGGCAGUCCACAAUGUGAAGCCCCUGAGGCCACCCUUCUCCAUGUGUCCCCCACACUGUCCCUGACCCUCCCACCAUCCUAGAAAACCAGCCUCCCAGGUCCUCUGUCAUGGAAGUAAUUUACAGCAAGGCAGAAAGAGCUGAAAGAUUUAUAAAUGUGUAAAAUUUACAAAGGUGUUUCUUUCUUUCUUUCUUUCUUUUUUUUUUUUUUUUUUUUUGAGGCAGAGUCUCACUCUGUUGCCCAGGCUGGAGUGCAGUGGCACAAUUUUGGCUCACUGCAACCUCCGCCUCCCGGGUUCAAGUGAUUCUCCUGCCUCAGCCUCCCAAGUAGCUGGGAUUACAGGUGCAUGCCACCACGCCUAGCUAAUUUUUGUAUUUUUAGUAGAGACAGAGUUUUUUGCCAUGUUGGCCAGGCUGGUCUUGAACUCCUGACCUCAGGUGAUCUGCCUGCCUCAGCCUCCCAAAGUGCUGGGAUUACAGGCGUGAGUCACCGUGCCCGGCCUACAGAGGUGUUUCUGAGUGGAGAAACCACUGCCUGGUUGGACUGACUGCCCAGUUCCACCACCCUGUGAGCCCAUGAGUGAGCUCACUGCACUUGUUAUAGACAUCCUACCACCAGCAGCCUGAUUUUGCUGAGUCCGUAGCUUACAACUCCAAUCUCAUGGCCCUGCCUUUCACCUCACUUGCUGCCUUAAAAACCUGCAGACUGAGGUGGCGUAGAAGCUGUGACAUCCCAGUACCCAGAAGUUCAUCUCACACCCAGAUCUUGGUUUCUAAAUGUCAUUCUCUACUAAAAGGGACCAGGGCUGGUACAGGAGAAGAGCAAGAGCUUGGAAUAUCUUAUACCUGAGAGUAAGGAAGUGCUCAGAGAAUCACAGGAGCACGUUAAAAGGACAUAGAAGUCAGUUUAAUGAGACUGCUUCUGGCCAAAGUUGGAACACAUCAAACAUUAAAACAAUGAUGGUAAUGGAUUAGAUUCCAUAGAAUAAAAUCCUUGAGGACAUAGUUAUAUAAACAUAACUGAGGAAGAAGGAAAAGCUCUCCCUAACAGAAUAAUACAACUAGUAAAUGGGAAAGGAAAGGAGUUAGGAAUUCACGCUGGGUAUUGAAACUAGUGGGUGAAAGCUCAAUGAAUCGGAUUCUUAGUCUCAAUGUCUCUCCUCUCAAUUUAGUAAUUAUAGUGGAGUAAUCAUGACUUUACAGUGGAGAAACCUGGCCAACACUACCUUCACAACACUAACAAAAACCUUGCAGACCUGCAGCCUAAGCUCCCAGAAGUCACCUGCUGAAAUGCCUUCAAAGAGUGACCUCUCUGCGUGUAGUGCUCAGCAACUUGGGCUCAGUGUCUAUUUCCACAAGCUACAAACCAGAAUACAGUGGAAUUCAGCCCAUAUGUGGUAAUUUAUCUACCAAUCAAGGACCUUUGACUCCAAAAAUUACCUUUUUUGUACAAGUGACUACCUGGUGUAGAGCUCAGACAUGGCUUUGAAUUUUUGCCAUGCUGUGUGAGCUCAGGCAAGCUGCUUCACCUCUUUGAGCUUCAAUCUUUUAUCUAUAAAAUGGGAAUAACAAUAACUUAAUGAAACAGCAAUUCCAGUGUUAGGUAUUUCCUCAGGAGAAAUGAAAACACGUUCACACAAAUAAUUGUACAUGUAUGUUUCUACACGCUUUAUUCAUAAUAGUCAUAAACAACCUAAAUAUUCAUCAACUGGUUAGCAGAGAAAAGAGCAAACCACUGAUGACAUGAACGAAUUUCAGAAGCACUGUGCUCAGUGAAAGAAGCCAGACAAAAAUUACAUCUUACAUAAAUUUCAUUUAUAUGAAAUUCUAGUGAAGGCAAAACAUAUAGCCAGGGGCCAAGAGGGGAGGAUGGUCUGCAAAGAGGCAGGAACUUCUUCCUGGGGUGAUGGGAAUAUUCUGUGUCAUGAACAUCGUGAUUGUGGUUACAAGACUAUACUUUUGUCAAAACUCAUCAAAUUGUACACCUAAAAUGGAUGCAUUAAGCCUCAAUACAGCCAAUAAAAGAUACCUACGUUACAGUA